UACGAAGGUGGCAAGCGUUACUCGGAAUUACUAGGCGUAAAGGGCAGGUAGGUGGUUUGGUUAGUCUGUUGUGAAAGCUCCUGGCUUAACUGGGAGAGGUCAACAGAUACUGCCGAACUUGAGUAUAGGAGAGGUUACUGGAAUUCCCGGUGUAGCGGUGAAAUGCGCAGAGAUCGGGAGGAACACCAAUGGCGAAAGCAGGUAACUGGACUAUUACUGACACUCAGCUGCGAAAGCUAGGGGAGCAAACAGG
rnacentral:rRNA from 1 species